ensembl:lncRNA
GGGUGGCGUCUGUGAGCCAGAUCCUGUCUUCCCCGCUCAACAGCUGCGUGACCGCCAGCAGGUGACUUGCCUCUGUGUGUUCGUUUGAAAAAUAAGGGUGAUGAUUCUUCUGCCUUCUGAGAUGGAUUUUGCAGGAGAGCUCUAGGUUCAAACCUCAGAUCGGCCUAUGUAUCACUUGGCCAAGUCUCGUGUGUUUGUGUCAGCGUCUUGGAGCUGGGCUGCAGUUCGAUCUGUUUUGCCCAGCACGCUCAGCCAACACAGUGAAGCCGGGCACCUUGUGCAACAGGGCAGGUGUGUCUGCCUUUGCUCACCUCUUCUGCAUGUGGGUGAAACCCAGCAGCCCUCUCUGGGCAAGGAACGAGGAGCCUGGAGUGCCACCCCUGUGCAUGGGAGGAUCAGUGUGUUACACAGCAAAUUUGUGGGGACCAAUAGCCCAUAGGCAAGGAGUUUAUUUAUUAGAGGCUGUAGUCCUUCCAAAAGCAGAGACAUUACUUUGCCAACAAAGGUCCGUCUAGUCAAGGCUAUGGUUUUUCCUGUGAUCAUGUAUGGAUGUGAGAGUUGGACUAUGAAGAAGGCUGAGCACCGAAGAAUUGAUGCUUUUGAACUGUGGUGUUGGAGAAGACUCUUGAGAGUCCCUUGGACUGCAAGGAGAUCCAACCAGUCCAUUCUGAAGGAGAUCAGCCCUGGGAUUUCUUUGGAAGGAAUGAUGCUAAAGCUGAAACUCCAGUGCUUUGGCCACCUCAUGCGAAGAGUUGACUCAUUGGAAAAGACUCUGCUGCUGGGAGGGAUUGGGGGCAGGAGGAGAAGGGGACGACAGAGGAUGAGAUGGCUGGAUGGCAUCACUGACUCGAUGGACGUGAGUCUGAGUGAACUCCAGGAGCUGGUGAUGGACAGGGAGGCCUGGCACACUGCGAUUCAUGGGGUCGCAAAGAGCCGGACACGACUGAGUGACUGAACUGAACUGAUGCCUAUGUCAGAAGCUUUCUCUAUCUCCUUUAUACUUUAAUAAAACUGUAUUACACAAA